AAGACGACGACGAAGAUGAGCCAAGGAAGAAGCAAAACGUGGAAACGAAUCCAGUGCCUAAGCCGCCAUUGCCAGCGGCUGCCAAGAAAGCAAGUGGCGGCCCAAAGUUCAUCAUCAAACCUGUCGAGAAAAGCAUCAAACCAGUCGAGAAGAGCAACGUAAGUAGUGCUGCUCCUCAAGCUAACGGUGCGCUCUCCUCGCUUGGGGCCUAUGCUUCGGACGACGACGACGACGAGGAAUAGCUCCAGAAGCCCAGGAGAA
rnacentral:lncRNA from 1 species